rnacentral:tRNA from 1 species
GCCCUCGUAGCUUAACGGAUAAAGUACUGGUCUUCGGAACCAGCAAUGGGGGUUCGAUUCCCUCCGAGGGCACCA